UAGGGAAUAUUGCGCAAUGGGCGAAAGCCUGACGCAGCCAUGCCGCGUGGAUGAUGAAGGCCUUCGGGUCGUAAAGUCCUUUUCUGAGGGAAGAACUGCCGGGGGAGGAAAUGCCCUUGGCUUGACGGUACCUCAGGAAUAAGCAACGGCUAACUCCGUGCCAGCAGCCGCGGUAAUACGGAGGUUGCAAGCGUUGUUCGGAAUGACUGGGCGUAAAGGGAGCGCAGGCGGCCAAGUCAGUCUGAAGUGAAAGCCCGGGGCUUAACCCCGGAAUAGCUUUGGAUACUGCCUGGCUUGAGGGUGGGAUAGGAAAGCGGAAUUCCCGGUGUAGCGGUGAAAUGCGUAGAUAUCUGGAGGAACACCGGUGGCGAAAGCGGCUUUCUGGCGCAUAACUGACGCUGAGGCUCGAAAGCGUGGGG
rnacentral:rRNA from 1 species